GGGCCUCCCCCUCUUUGGAAAGCAUAAAAUCACACUGUUUCUUUCAAUAAAUGACUUCGUUACUCUCGAGUGCUGAGAAAUGAACAGAAAUAUGACGAAUGAAAAGGAAAUUGAAGAAUGAACAUUCCCGGUGGUAUACUCCUGAGCUGGACGGAGGGAAGGAUAUAUUGAGUACUCAUCAGAGGUUUUCAUCACCGAUCGCUGGAUGACACAGUGGAACAAGCACAAUGUGUUAUUCGUGCCUGUGAGGACUGUCAGCACUUAGUACCUCUUCCUUUAUUACAUGCUACAAAUCCCCAUGGUCUUCAAGCCAACGAAUUAUGGCAAACAGAUGUCACACAUAUUCCAUCCUUUGGAAAACUUAAAUAUGCGCAUGUUACAGUUGACACAUUUUUGGGAUUUGUAGUCACCACGGCGCACUCAGGACCGUGGAAUCACCCAUGUAACAGGCAUUCCUCGUUCACCUACAGGACAAGCAGUUGUGGAGCGCAUGCAUCACUUCUUAAAAACUAUGCUUGAAAAACAAAAAAGGGGGAAUCUCCUCCUUUCUCCACAAGAGAGACUAGAUAAAGUGAUGUCACUUAAUUUUUUACAUCUUUCUGGAAUUAAGAAUUACAAAACGGCAGCUCAAAGACGAUUUCAGUUUGCUCAGACUCCUGAGAUAUAUUUGAAAGUUUUUAUAAACAUGUAGAGUCAGGCAAAUGGGACGGGCCUGUACCACUUUUAACAUGGGGACGAGGUUAUGCUUGCGUUUCUCUUCUUUCAGGUCCAUAUUGGAUUCCAGCAAGGAGCGUCAAGCCUGCUCAGACGAUUUUCAGAGACAUCGAAGAAGAUGUAUCUCUGGACACAUGAAGGAUCAAGAAUGAGAAAACAAUGGUGUAUGUUGUGUAUAUGUGUAACGUUAACAUGGAAUGUUCAGGUUGAUGCAAAUGUGUGCUGGGCGCACAUUCUGGAUCCUCCAGUGUUCCGAUUGUUAACCUGAUGGGAUGCUUCUCCACCAAUUAGUAGUAAUGAUACCCAAUGGUCCAGAGGGGUAUGGCUUCCUCCUGCUUCGGAUACUUAAAUGUUUGAAAUGAAUGAAACAACCAUGGUAACAGAUUUUCCUCCUAUAUGUCUCAUUAAUGCCAGUGAUUCAGAAUUUUGUUUAAGGAUGCAACCACAACAACGUCUAGUAGCAAUAAAAAGCAAGACUCGUGAAUUUUGCAAUUGUUACCAUUCCUGGUCUAUCGUUACACAAUAUUACUCCUAUAAAAAACUCAGAGUCCCUGCACCCUUCUAGUUUUCAUCAUUCUUUAGUAUGGCAUAAUGGAGGAUCUGCAGGGUCUGUUCUUCAGUAUUAUUUUUACACUAAUUCACAGCUAUCUCCUGCACAUACUAACCUUUGGCGUCUUGGCUCACCUUUUUUUCAGUGGAAGCUAUAUCAAGUAUCUUUAUAUGAUAGUCAUACUAAUGCUUACUUAACUUUGCUAAGAGAAGAUUCUGUUACAAUGAGCACUACUCACCCUUACUUGAUUGUAAUCGCACCUACUAUUCACAUUAUUUUAUGUAGUCAUUCCUUUUGUGUGAUGUUACACUCUCCCAAGUUUAAGGCAUGCAUAGCACAUACUGAUGUGAUAAACAGUACAUACAUCUUUCUUUUACAGUGGCGUCCAGAGUUAUGGUUACCUGUUAACACGAAACUGGGAAGGCGAGAAUGGCUUAGCCCAAUUUGCUAGGUACUGCAAGUCACGUUAGUUGUCACAAUGCUUCAAUUCCUCUGGUCAGCUCUUCGAAGAGUUAAAAAGGUAGAAGCUCGAGUUAUGGCCACACUGGUUAUAAAAGAAAUGGUCAUAAACAAAAAAGGGGGAGGGGUGGAAGAUGAAAAACAUGUUAACUGCAGAGGAAUUGGCAGCAUGAGACUUUGCAGUACAGAACAAGAACAAGAAGAACAAGGACAACUAGGAGUUAAAGUGAACUUGAUUGAGUGACUCCUGGGAACAAAAACCACCUCAUUCAAAAGAUAAGGACUUGGCUCAGACUUUUGGAUGCCAGCUGCAAAGGACCCUUAUCUUCAUUCUAUUUUUACAUGGGAACAGGGCACAGCUGGGGGAAAGAAGGGGCCUCCCCUUCUUUGGAAAGCAUAGAAUUUUCUUUCAAUAAACGAUUUUGGUACUCUCAGGUGCUGGAGUCUGUGCCUUCAGUAUACCACAUUUACCAGAGGCGGAGCGUGGAGUUUUGGAAGUAGGGGGACAAGGGUGUCUUAUGUAAGAAUUUUGCAGGUUGUUCUUUUAUUAUCAUAUUCUGAGGUAAUCCAUGUCUCAGUAUUGUUCACAGUUGUUAAAUGGGGUAUUUAGAGGUAAUUGGUGAUCUUGAGAAAAGAGAUUAUAAAUUGUAUAUGUUCCCCUUACGAUUUUCCAGUUUGGCCAGUCCGCGAGACGGGCAGUGGGGGCUAAUGAUUACUGGAGAUUGAAUAGCAAUAGCUCACCUUUAACAGCUACUGUCCUGAAUAUAACAUCAAUGAUAACAGUGAUACAGGCCGCCGCUUAUUUGUGGGUGGCUGCUUCAGAAGUAACAAACACGUGGGUGUUGGUUUUUUUAUGAUUCCCCUAAGGGAAGAGGAUAAGCCUCAGUUGGCCUUUACUUGGGAAGGGACAUAAAAUACCUUAAAUUGACUCCCACAAGCAUAUAAGUAUUCCCCCACUAUUGCUCAUAAUGUUUUGGCCAGACUUCUUGAUACAGUGGAAGUGUCGUUGGUUGUCCAUAUAUCUAUCAGCAUGUAGAUGACAUCCUGGUUGGCAGAGAUAUUAAAGAAGUGGUUGAAAUUAUUUGGGAUUUGUUCAUUAAGGAUAGGUUAGAUAUUCCACCCUCUAAACGUUAGGGUCUUAGGCCUGAAGAGAAGGCAGCAAGGGGGUGUUUGAUAUACUAUAUUAUCUUCAGGCUAGUGGCAUAGUUGAGUGGAUUAUCAGUUUGAUUAAGAGACAUGCCAAUGUCUAAUGACAUAAUUGAGAUAUAUGGUUAUCAGAAGAGGUUUUUAUUGUUAAUAACUAUUGGGGAAAUUAUGGAAACUUAAAAAGAGGAGUAUUGUGCCCUAGGGGAGUUACUGGUUAUUAUUUAACAAUUAUAAGGGCUGGUUCCCACUGAAGAUAUGUGUAGGCCAAGUUGUUAUGAUAAUGUUAUCUUCAAUCGGCAUUGUGCCUGUGACCCUCGUAAAACCUAGAGGGUUACAUGUCUGGGAGGAUUUAGAUGAAGGUGGAAGAAUUUACUGUAUUAGUGCUGGAUGGAUAAUCUCUGAAUUUUAACUCGAUGCCCAGGUUUUAAUCUGAGGACUAGGUGUUGAUCUUUUUGGGGGGGAAGAAGCGGAUGUCUUCAGCAUUGUUAUGGGCGAUGGUGACGGUGACCCACAUGGACGAUCGAGACUUGGAUGACAACAUGGUGGCGAAUACUUCUGUGAAUGUGGCAUCUUUUAGAAGGUUGUGCUUGGACUUGGUGAUAUUAAGGUGGGGAAAGUGUUUUUAUGACCUGACUGUAUUAGUACCACUUUAAGUAAUGAAGAAAGUGGUGAGAGAUUUGAAGUCAAUUGUUAUUUUUUUAAUUGAUUGAUUGGAUAUGUUCAAAUCUUCCUUAUUAGAAUGGUUAGUUUUAACUUUGGUUGGAAUAGAUUGUACUGAAGUUUAAGUAGUGAAGUCCGUGUUGGAGUAUGUGGGGGUUUUGUUUGGAGAUUGAUUUGUAUAAUUAUUUAGAAACCAUGAUCCACAACAAGCAUUAGAACUCACGGGGACUGAAAUCCCUUUUAACCUUGGAGGCAAGAGGUGACUGUGCCACCACUUCAAGGAAACCAGCUGAAUCAUGAUUGUGGUCAUGGGGUGGAUUGUGUGGCACGUGCAUGAAAAUGUGGCUUUGCGGCUGUUGAGCUUUUCUUGUGCCCUUGUUCUCAGGGCUUUGCUGUACUUGGAGACCUCGGCAAAUAGGGGCUGGUAUUGCCCACAGGUCAGAUUUGGCUGGGGUGUAAAUGGAGUCCCCGUGGGGAGCCAUUUUCAGCUAGCCUUGACUGGAGCCACGGGCUGCAGGUAAGGACUCUCUCCUUGGGUUGGGACGCCGCAGAAGGAAACUCCUCGGGGCUCCUUGGAUUGGGACGCUGCCCUAAGAUGUUCCUCGAGGUUGAGAGUCCUUGCCUUUUACUAGGUGAGUGGUUGAGUGAUUUUGGUUGGUGUCAAACCCCUGCUAACGUUCUGGGUUGAGGUUAAACCCAGGAUAGCAUUCUGGGUUGUCGUUAAACCCCAGAAGUUUGUGUGGUGAUAGUUUGUUCUCCUCUGACGGUCAUUCGAACCUUCUCUUUGUAUGUUUGCAGAGUGUUGAAUAGUUGUGUAUAAAAAUAAAUUUUAUUUUUUUAUAAUUUGUUGGUUGGAGACUUUCCGCAACACCUGCACAAGGGCAGGCCUUGAAUUGGAGCCAUCUCAAAAGCUUUUGUUAACCUUGCUGCACGUGCUAAACAGUCUCCCUCAUGAAGGCUGUGGGAACCUGAGCUUGCAGUUCACAAGAAGCUGUGGGGAAUGAGCAGUGCGUUCUCUGUGUCUGGCACACUGUUGUGGUGUUUUUGAAAUAAACAUGCAAUAUAUAAAAUAAAUUUUAUUGUGGAUGCAA